AGUGAACGCUGGCGGUAGGCCUAACACAUGCAAGUCGAACGGCAGCACAGUAAGAGCUUGCUCUUACGGGUGGCGAGUGGCGGACGGGUGAGGAAUACAUCGGAAUCUACUUUUUCGUGGGGGAUAACGUAGGGAAACUUACGCUAAUACCGCAUACGACCUACGGGUGAAAGCAGGGGAUCUUCGGACCUUGCGCGAUUGAUUGAGCCGAUGUCGGAUUAGCUAGUUGGCGGGGUAAAGGCCCACCAAGGCGACGAUCCGUAGCUGGUCUGAGAGGAUGAUCAGCCACACUGGAACUGAGACACGGUCCAGACUCCUACGGGAGGCAGCAGUGGGGAAUAUUGGACAAUGGGCGCAAGCCUGAUCCAGCCAUACCGCGUGGGUGAAGAAGGCCUUCGGGUUGUAAAGCCCUUUUGUUGGGAAAGAAAAGCAGCAGGUUAAUACCCCGCUGUUCUGACGGUACCCAAAGAAUAAGCACCGGCUAACUUCGUG
rnacentral:rRNA from 1 species